rnacentral:rRNA from 1 species
AUAUUACUAAGCGGAGGAGAAGAAAUUAACUAAGAUUGCCUUAGUAAGGGCGACUGAACCGGCAAAAGCUCGAAAUUAAAAUCGGGAAUUCAAUGAAUUUUCGAAUUGUAAUCAGGACUGCUUAAAUACGGGAGGCUUCUCAAGAGUCUCGAAAGGCUCGCCGGAGAGGGUGAAAGCCCCGUGCAGGGGUCUCUCGAACAAAGUAGUUCAUCAAAGAGUCGUGUUGCUUGGAACUGCAGCACUAAGUGGGAGAUAUGAUUCUUCCAAAGCUAAAUAUGGAUGGGAGACCGAUAGCGCACAAGUA